rnacentral:lncRNA from 1 species
GAUAAUGACUUGGAGAACCGAGACUCCACUUUGGUCAAAGCAAGGUAUUUCCUAUUGUGAAAGAGACCUUUGAAAGCGGAAAGGUCCCAGAACUUCUAAUUUUGACUGUUUGCCUGACCACUUCUGGGGCGGAUCUGGACAGAGGGCAUCUCGUUCCCAGGCUGGUUCUGUGGCUGGAAUUUACAGAAGCUCAUUCCCAUACACCCGCUUCCUCUCUCCGCCAUCUGUUUGUUCGGCUGCCAACAAUCCAAGCUAUUAAGCAAAUGGAGAUGACACGGAAUUUGAAAACAAGCCUGCUGCUCAGCGUGACGAGAGUCACAGUGGCCCUCUCUCCUCGUGGCUCUGCUCUUCUGGCUGACAGCCUGAGGGAAGUCACUUAAGCUCUCUGGGCUUCUGCCGGGCCUCAAAUUUCUUACCGUCGAAGGACGAAGUAAAAUCCCGAGGAAACAUCUUGAAAAUGGGUG